UACUCAAUGUCUCUGAAGGUGAAGGUUUGAUUUAGUUAUCACGGCCAAUGACCAUUGAAACCUCCAUGAAUUUGCCCGAUCCUGUUUUAAUUUAAUAUGGUGACCCUCACCAGACUGGAUGACAAUGAAAUCCAUAAAUCAGUUGUGUGUUGUGUUAAAAAAGUACUUUGUUUUGUCUGUCCUGAAUCUCCUACCAAACACUUUAAUUGGGAGACUGACACUCCCACAAUUCUAGAGGAGGGGAACAGAUUUUCUAUCCACUUCCUCUACACCUUACAUAAUUCAAUAAAUCUUUAUAAAUCUAAAUGAUAAACCUUAAUUUGUAUAAACCUCUCCAUGAAUGGGAUUUCUGCUAAUCUUCCCUCAUUCCCACCCCAUUAAAUGAGCCCCUGUCAGACGUGAAUUGCAAAUGUAAGCUUUUAGAGGCAUAUGACUAGCACAAGAACCUGAGCCAUUGGCUUAUUUGGAAUGGCAGUGAUCUGGCAGGAUGCAUUGUGACAAAGAUUAUUACACUCUUGUGUCAGAGGCUGUGUUGCUCCCAUAGAGCUGGAGCAUCUCAGUGCUGAUGUUCAUACUCUGCACUUGCCUAGGCAAUUUCACCUCCCUAGGCAAAGCAUCUGCUUUGCUGGCUAUGGAUAACAUGAGCUGCUUCAUCAGGCCAAUAGUCACUAGCAGGCUGGAGACCAGCAAAAUCCAGGAACUCACCUGUGACAGGAGAAAAUCCUUCCUUCGGCCAUCAGGGUGGCAUCACAGAGCUGAUCUCCAUUGAUUGUGUAGUGUCUUCUCCUCGCAGGUACUUAGGAAUAAUGUUUUCCUUCUUUGCUACCUCUUGAAUAGUCAACCUUCCCCUGGCCUUGAGCUUAAGAGAGGGGGGAGAGCGUAACUCAGUGGCAGAGCACCUGCUUGGCAUGCCAAAUGUCCAGUGUCAAUCCCCAGCAUCUCAAUUUAAAAAUUAAAAUGUGAAGCAGGCAGUGGGAAAGACUCCUUCCUGAAACCCUAGACGGCUGUAGCCAGUCUGAGCAGACAAUACUGAGCUAGGUGGACAAAUAGUAUAAGACAGACUUUUAUGUUCUAUGAAAGAUGGUGUAUCUGUUGCCCUGGAACACUUCAAUGACUUACAGCAAGGGUAGGGAACCAGGGGCCCUUUAGGUGUUGCUGGAUUACAGCUUCCCUCUCACGCUGGCUAGGACUGAUGGGAGGUGGAGUCCAACAACAUCCGGAGGGCUCUCGGUUCCACACCACUGAGAGAUUCCCAUAUCCUGUAUCUUCCUAACCCCUUUGUUCCCAAAUGAUGCUCACAAGGGUCUCCAGUCCAUCUGGUUGCUACCAAGAACUGGUUUCAAGAUGGUGCCUGUACCUGAGACAGGGAUUAGUUGGUUGAGAACCACUUUGGGUUAUUAUAGGGCCUGGAACAAAUCCUGGUGGAGAAGCAGUCCCAAAAAAACUGGAAAAAAUACAACCCCAGUGCUAGUCAACAUGGGUCUCAGCACAUAGUAUGAGGUGGUUUCACAUAUAAAGAAGAGGGCUGUUGUUCUGGUUUUGGUUGCUGGCCAUUUGGUGAAACCAAGAUAUUUAGGCCAUUGUGUCAGAAGUGUGAAUUGCAGAGCACAAGAACAACUCUAAAUCCCCAGGUAUAGGCAGACCACCCAUUAUGACUACAAGCCUUGACACAGACAGGCAGCAGCCAAUGAGCUGUUAAUCUUUUACCAGUCCCAUUUCUUAUUUGCAUAUGGGAGACCAACAAGGCAUAUUUUAAAAGCCAUUGGCUGGGCUGGUAGGUGCAGAGGAAAUAAUUUCUUCUUUCAUAUAUAGCCCCUUUCAAAAGUUUUACCUUUACAGGUGGAGGUCAGAUUUUUAAAAGUCAAGGAAAUCAUGCAGCUGCUGCGUUCUGAAAGAAGAAACAUUUGAUAGCUGUGGAGCUCAGAGAUGAUUAAACAUCUGGAUGGAGAGCUUUGGAUAAUCUCCGAUUGGGCUAGAAAAACAAGGGUGGAACAGAAUCGUGGAGAAUGAAAGCAGGAGGACACCAGCAGAGCUCUGCAUGGGGGAAGGACUGGAGCGGCAAGGAGAAGGAGGCUUCUGAACAACUUUAGGGGCCAGCAGAACUCAAAUAAAAUAAGUCUAUGGAUACAGA